rnacentral:rRNA from 1 species
CCUACGGGUGGCAGCAGUGAGGAAUAUUGGUCAAUGGACGGAAGCCUGAACCAGCCAAGUCGCGUGAGGGACGACGGUCCUAUGGAUUGUAAACCUCUUUUGUAGGGGAACAAACGCUGCUACGCGUAGCCUGAUGCGUGUACCCUACGAAUAAGGAUCGGCUAACUCCGUGCCAGCAGCCGCGGUAAUACGGAGGAUGCGAGCGUUAUCCGGAUUUAUUGGGUUUAAAGGGUGCGUAGGCGGACAGUAAAGUCAGCGGUAAAAAUGCGGUGCUCAACGCCGUACAGCCGUUGAAACUGGCAGGCUUGAGUGGGCGAGAGGUAUGCGGAAUGCGUGGUGUAGCGGUGAAAUGCAUAGAGAUC